GAACGAGAAAGUGGAGCAAUCCAUGAGUAAAGUGGCGACCGGGUGAGUAACACGUGACUAACCUACCUUCGAGUGGGGGAUAACCUCGGGAAACCGGGGCUAAUACCGCAUAACAUCUUCGGGAUGAGAAGCUGAAGAUCAAAGGAGCAAUUCGCUGGAAGAGGGGGUCGCGGCUGAUUAGCUAGUUGGCGGGGUAACGGCCCACCAAGGCGAUGAUCGGUAGCCGGCCUGAGAGGGCGCACGGCCACACUGGAACUGAAACACGGUCCAGACUCCUACGGGAGGCAGCAGUGGGGAAUUUUGCGCAAUGGGGGAAACCCUGACGCAGCAACGCCGCGUGGAGGAUGAAGCCCUUUGGGGCGUAAACUCCUUUCGACCGGGACGAUAAUGACGGUACCGGUGGAAGAAGCCCCGGCUAACUUCGUG
rnacentral:rRNA from 1 species